ACUAAACAGCUAGCUCUACCCAAAAUGAUCAAGCCAACAAUGUUAGUCAACCCAUCAAGAACUGACCCCACCAAUCAAACCAUUUGACCACCCCAGUAUGGGCGACAGAAAAGGACCAACGAAGCUAUAGACAAAGUACCGCAAGGGAACGCUGAAAGAGAGCUGAAAUAGCACCCCAAAGUACGUAGAAGCAGAGGCUAGGCCU
rnacentral:rRNA from 1 species